AGAGUUUGAUCCUGGCUCAGAUUGAACGCUGGCGGCAUGCUUUACACAUGCAAGUCGAACGGCAGCACGGGGGCAACCCUGGUGGCGAGUGGCGAACGGGUGAGUAAUGCAUCGGAACGUAUCCUUGAGUGGGGGAUAACGCAGCGAAAGUUGUGCUAAUACCGCAUAAGCUCUGAGGAGGAAAGCGGGGGACCGAAAGGCCUCGCGCUGAAGGAGCGGCCGAUGUCCGAUUAGUCUAGUUGGUUGGAGGUAAAAGGGACGUUACCUAACGGACGGACGAUCGGUAGGCUGGUCGUGAGAGGAUGAUCAGCCACACUGGGACGU
rnacentral:rRNA from 1 species